GAUGAACGCUGGCGGCGUGCCUAAUACAUGCAAGUCGAGCGAACAGACGAGGAGCUUGCUCCUCUGACGUUAGCGGCGGACGGGUGAGUAACACGUGGAUAACCUACCUAUAAGACUGGGAUAACUUCGGGAAACCGGAGCUAAUACCGGAUAAUAUAUUGAACCGCAUGGUUCAAUAGUGAAAGACGGUUUUGCUGUAACUUAUAGAUGGAUCCGCGCCGCAUUAGCUAGUUGGUAAGGUAACGGCUUACCAAGGCGACGAUGCGUAGCCGACCUGAGAGGUGGAUCGGCCACACGGGAACUGAGACACGGUCCAGGCUCCUACGGGAGGGAGAAGUAGGGAAUCUUCCGCAAUGGGCGAAAGCAUGACGGAGCAACGCCACGUGAGUGAUGAAGGUCUUCGGAUCGUAAAACUCGGUUAUUAGGGAAGAACAAAUGUGUAAGUAACUAUGCACGGCUUGACGGUACCUAAUCAGAAAGCCACGGCUAACUACGUG
rnacentral:rRNA from 1 species